UCGCCGUGCGGUAAGUGCGGCGUGUAGCCGCGUGAAGUUGUCCGCGCGAGAUUGUCGCGAGGAGUCGUCGCGAGGAGUCAUCGCGCGUUCGUGACGUUUAAGUAUGGCGGACGCUCGCACGCACAGCGGACGAUUGUCGCGUAUCGUGCUCGCGUUCAAGCAUUCGGUAACGCCGCGCGAUGUGACGGACGAUCGCCGACAGUGGUGUUAUCGCCUCGUGCGUUUACGUGACGGUUCUAAUCGACUGAGACGGCGUCUGCUCCAAGGACGACGCGCACGAGUGGCUGAAUACCGGAGGUCUGGAUCGGCCGGCGAUGCCUCGUCCAAGCUCGUCCGUGUGUAUGUGUGUGAACGUGUGUGUCACGAGCGACGACGUGGAGCAGAGGGGAGCGGUGAGACGAGGACGCGCAACGCGACGACGGUGGUACCGUGGCAUCGGGCACGAUGGGAACUUACACGAGUUUAAUUGAACUCAAGCAAGAGAAUGUUAUAUUUUCGUUUACAAUUAAUUAGUGAUUCAUUAAAUGUGCGUAAGCGAGUGUUAUUUUCAUUAAAGUUGAAUUUUUUUAUUGAAUCUUAACUUGUUUUAAUUUCGGGAGUGCCAUGUAAAGUAUCGCGCGACGUGUGAUUGUCAUAUUCUAUUAAUUAAUUUCCGCGCUGAUUUAAUUAACUGCGUUUUAGCAAGUGUAAUUAAUCGCGUUCUCGCAAGUGUGUUAUGAGUGCAACAAUGGAACUUGAAAGCAGCGAACAACAGCGAAGCAGUGGGCAGGUGUCUACCGUUGGCGCUGAUUACAAUAUACUAUGAGACACAACGUGGGAGCUUAUAAUGCACCACCCUAUAAACCCUCGUUUUGCGCUUGCGAACCGGGCAGCCACCGGGCAACUUCUAGAUAUCUUUCACUAGUCUACAAGACCUUGAUCUUUUCCGAGGUCCGUUACGAAGAGCAAAACUUCCACAAAUUGGAGAUCAACAACCGCAGCUGAAGACGAGACCUUUAUCCUUUUCCUAUCAGAAUGUAGAUCUCUUUUUUUUUAUUUGAGCUCGGUCUGUAAUCAAAGAAAAUGCUUAUAAGUAAAAUCAACAUCUGAAACACACGAGUGCAGAAAAUUACGAUGACACGUUGCGUAUGUAUAAGCACGAAAUACCUUUGCAUUUAUGCCGUUGUACUGCAAAGUACCGUUGUACAAAUUAUGCUCUUAAAUCAGGUUUUCUCCGUUACUUGAAAACACGUGCGUUUUCAUUUUACGAUUGCGGGUUGCCAGCUACCUCACCGUAUCUCACCUUGUAUAAGUCGCAAAAUUCGUGUAGGGUAUGUAAAUUUAAUGUCACGUGUUUGAGUGAAGAAACAAGCGUAUGAAUCCUCCGUUAAUCCUGCAUUUCAGUAUUUCUUUUAAAAUACAAAGAAAAAUAGGAAAUUAAGUCUGAAAUAUAAAUACAUACAUUCGAAAUUUAAUUCAACCAUUGAAUUUUAAUUAACGACAGUUAUCGUUUCGGAUUAUUCACUGACUAAUUUUAGAUGCACAUUAAUCGGCCCAAUAAAAUACUUGAUAACGGAUCAUCAGAUUCGUUCGUCAUUGAUCCGUCACUCUUUCUAUUCUACAUAUUAGAAUACGGAUUAUUCAUAUAAAAUGAAACAGCAAAAUAAUACGAGUGCUAUAAAUAAUGCAACUGUCUCGGUGUAUAUUGUAACAUGUGUUGCAAAAGCGUAUUGCUUUCACCUGCAGUUAUUACUUUCAAAAAUUAUAAGCACUGUAUUUAUCAAGUAAUAUACAAAAAUGUUUUACGAUGGUGAUCGAUAUUCAGUAAAUUGAUAUAAAUAAUUUUUUAAUUACCAAACUUCAACUAUAUGCUUAUAAAUGGCAUGAUAAUACACAUCUUUAGCUCUCUUAUCGAUCUUUACAUGUUACAGAAAAUACCUAUUAGAUUAUCAUUUAGCCUUGUAAUAAAUUUUACUCAAAGAUAAUUGCCGCGUAAGAUACUUAAUGUCAAGCGACGAGAAGCAGUUAACUUAAUUUAUGAUUAUUCUAGGACGAUCUAAUAACUUGCAAAAAUUAAAUUAAAUAUACAAUGUAUUAUAUAUAAAACGUAAAACUUGUUAAAAAAUAUAUAUAUAUGUAUAUAUAUGUACUAGUCAUAGGAUUAAAUUCAUUAAAAUUAAAAUAUAUAUAUAGGUAAAGAGCAAAACAAAUGAUUACAAAGCUGAGAUUUAUUUUAGCUAAUAAUGGUUUUAAAAUAAUCUCUAUAUAAGAAUUAUAAUUUUUCCAUUUCUUUCACAUUGAUUUUACUCUCUUUUUUUUUUCUCUUUCUGUUGCAAAUGCGUAUCGCACAAAUAAUCCAGUAUUGAUUUUCCGUAUGUAUUUGCUGCAAUUAUGUGCAUCUUACAAGUUGCCGAGUUGUUGAUUUUCUGUGAAAUGCCGAGGCAGUGCCUACCGUAUAUCAAGGAUUACUUACAAUCGAGUACUUCUACUCUAUAUACUUCUUCACGAUAUUUUCAUAUACUUCGACGUAUGUACAAAGAAAUGUUUAUUCUUUACUUUUUACUCCUCUACACGUCUCAGUAAAAAAAGGUUACUUGGAGCAUUUAUACUGGAGUAGCCGUGAAGGUGUACUAAAGAUAAAUUUUCCAUUGAUGAAAUUUCAUAUACAAUCACAAGUAUCGGAGUACAUAUUUUAUAAAUAAAUAGCAACAA